rnacentral:lncRNA from 1 species
CUGAUUGACCACAUUGGCUAGAUAAGUGAGAUCGGUGGGAGGGUCUGCCAAGGCUUGCCUUAGGCACCAUCAAAAUGGCCAGAUAAGUGGGUUAUCAAUUAAAAAUCAUUGAUCAUAUUAUCACAGUAAUAUUGCCAAACUUAUCUCAGACACCAAUUAGUUUAUCAAUUUUGAUUUGAUCUACCUAUAGACUCGGGUCCGACCAUUGAGCCACGAUUAGGUUCAUUUGGUGUAAUCAAACUCAUGGACUUUCAUCAAUUACAAUGAUUGAGUCUAACCUGGAGAAGAUUUGAUCUAAUCUAAUUCAACUCUUGGUUAGAUUUAGUUAAUUUCUUAAUUUAGUCCAUAUUUGAUUCUAACCCUA